AGCGAACGCUGGCGGCAGGCCUAACACAUGCAAGUCGAACGAACUCUUCGGAGUUAGUGGCGGACGGGUGAGUAACACGUGGGAACGUGCCUUUAGGUUCGGAAUAACUCAGGGAAACUUGUGCUAAUACCGAAUGUGCCCUUCGGGGGAAAGAUUUAUCGCCUUUAGAGCGGCCCGCGUCUGAGUAGCUAGUUGGUGAGGUAAAGGCUCACCACGGCGACGGUCAGUAGCUGGUCUGAGAGGAUGAUCAGCCACAUUGGGACUGAGACACGGCCCAAACUCCUACGGGAGGCAGCAGUGGGGAAUCUUGCGCAAUGGGCGAAAGCCUGACGCAGCCAUGCCGCGUGAAUGAUGAAGGUCUUAGGAUUGUAAAAUUCUUUCACCGGGGACGAUAAUGACGGUACCCGGAGAAGAAGCCCCGGCUAACUUCGUGCCAGCCGCCGCGGUAA
rnacentral:rRNA from 1 species